rnacentral:rRNA from 1 species
AUUGAACGCUGGCGGCGGGCUUAACACAUGCAAGUCGAGCGAGCGGCGGACGGGUGAGUAAUGUCUGGGCACCUGCCUGAUGGAGGGGGAUAACUACUGGCAACGGUAGCUAAUACCGCAUCCCAUCAGCUGUGCCCAGAUGGGCUUAGCUAGUAGGUGGGGUAAUGGCUCACCUAGGCGACGAUCCCUAGCUGGUCUGAGAGGAUGACCAGCCACACGGGAACUGAGACACGGUCCAUACUCCUACGGGAGGCAGCAGUGGGGAAUAUGGCACAAUGGGCGCAAGCCUGAUGCAGCCAUGCCGCGUGUGUGAAGAAGGCCUUCGGGUUGUAAAGCACUUGCAGCGAGGAGGCGUUACUCGCAGAAGAAGCACCGGCUAACUCCGUGCCAGCAGCCGCGGUAAUUC